GUGGGAUUAGUACAAUGGUAGUAUGCAACCUUCCCAAGGUUGAGACGCGAGUUCGAUUCUCGUAUCCCACU
rnacentral:tRNA from 1 species